CUGGCGGCACGCCUAACACAUGCAAGUCGAACGAAGUAGCAAUACUUAGUGGCAGACGGGUGAGUAACAUGUAGGUAUCUACCCUAUGGUUUGGAAUAACACGAGGAAACUUGUGCUAAUACCAAAUAAGUCUUUACGGAGAAAGCUUUAUGCGCCAUUGGAUGAGCCUGCACUUGAUUAGUUUGUUGGUGGGGUAAUGGCCUACCAAGACAAUGAUCAAUAGCUGAUUUGAGAGGAUGAUCAGCCACAUUGGGACUGAGACACGGCCCAAACUCCUACGGGAGGCAGCAGUGGGGAAUCUUGCACAAUGGGGGGAACCCUGAUGCAGCGAUGCCGCGUGAGUGAAGAAGGCCUUUGGGUUGUAAAGCUCUUUCGUCGGGGAAGAAAAUGACUGUACCCGAAUAAGAAGGUCCGGCUAACU
rnacentral:rRNA from 1 species